rnacentral:rRNA from 1 species
AGUGAACGCUGGCGGUAGGCCUAACACAUGCAAGUCGAACGGCAGCACAGUAAGAGCUUGCUCUUACGGGUGGCGAGUGGCGGACGGGUGAGGAAUACAUCGUAAUCUACUUUUUCGUGGGGGAUAACGUAGGGAAACUUACGCUAAUACCGCAUACGACCUACGGGUGAAAGCAGGGGAUCUUCGGACCUUGCGCGAUUGAAUGAGCCGAUGUCGGAUUGGCUAGUUGGCGGGGUUAAGGCCCACCAAGGCGACGAUCCGUAGCUGGUCUGAGAGGAUGGUCGGCCGCCCUGGAACGGAACCACGGUCCAGACGCCUAAGGGAGGCAGCAGUGGGGAAUAUUGGACAAUGGUCGGAAGCCUGAUCCAGCCAUACCGCGUGGGUGAAGAAGGCCUUCGGGUUGUAAAGACCUUUUGUUGGGAAAGAAAAGCAGCAGGUUAAUACCCCGCUGUUCUGACGGUACCCAAAGAAUAAGCACCGGCUAACUUCGUG